AAGUCCCAACCCCAGCCAGGCCCAACCCAAACUGAACUCUUCUCCCCCCGACCCAAACCCCAGCCCCGCCGCCGGCCAACUCCAGUCCCUUCGCCGCCGCCGCCGCCGCCGCCGCGUAGACGCGAGGACGCACACGCAUCCGCUACCACCGCGGCCAUGGUCCUCUCCCACCGCCGCUUCCUCCUUCCACCCCGGCCUCUUUGCCAUCGGCGCCGUCGCACCACUGCCGGCCCCUGCUCGAGCUGGUCAGGCGGCGUGCAGAUCCGCCACUGCCACAGCGUCGUCGUCCUCCACAACCACGCAGCGGCUCCUCGCCCGCGACCCUCUUCUCCAGUUUGGGGGCAAGGAAGGAGAAGCCUUUCUCGCUCGAUCUGGCGAGGAUGGAUGCGCAGCAAGGUCAGGUGCACCACCGUGAUGAUGGGGA